rnacentral:misc_RNA from 1 species
CUAAUAUGAAGGACAUUGUAGAAGGAGGCCGGCAAGAGAGAGAAUGUGGAAAGAACACAUGGUGGAACACAGGUUCAUUUAGUUCCCUUCAAAGGCUGGUUUUCACAGAUUCAGAUGAUUCUUUUUUCUGAUAGAGUUCUGACAGCGCUGGAAGUGGCUAGUAUCGGUUUAAUAGGCCCCUUUGCUUAAUGUGUAUGUUCUGUUUCGCGCUGCCUCCUCGAUGAGUCAAGGUGUAACAUGAAGGUGUCCAAGAUGUGUCACCGACAGAAAAAAGCAUGCGUCGAAAAAGUUGCUUGGUGCAAAGCAAAGCGAGAAGUUGCGAACACAGUGGAAACACGCCAUUUUUCUGCUCCUGAGACACUUGCAAGAUGGAGUGGCUGGCACACCAGUGUCAUUCUUGUAUUUGCUAUGCGAAGCGAAAGACUACGCCACUGGCUCAUGGACCAUGAAACAAUGUUUUUGAGAACGCUUCUCGGGGCGUUUCCUCGCCACUUCCCCCCCCCCGCUCGGCGCCGCCCCUUGACAUCCGAGCCCUCUUCGCGAUAAUCAUUCGCCUCUGCUUUUGACUGUUUAUGCGCCCCUGCAUGCUUGCCCACAUAAUCCCUCUUUCUCUCCCCGACAAUCUUCAGAGCGCUGAUCAGGCACUCGCCUCUUGACGUCCAUAUCUAUGAAAUGCUCUGCAGAGACGCAAAAUAUCACGUUUCCUCUUUCACCCAAGGCCAUCAAGAGGAUAAAAAAAUAAAGCGUCUAAAUGCACCGCUUCUCAAGCUACACCCUCCACUGCCUUUUUCUUCUGGGUACUCUCCGUAAGCUGCGCACCAUAAGCCCGAAGGCAAACAGCCCCCAGGGCCGGAACGACCGCCACGAAGACCCCGCCGCCACCACCAGCCCCAACCACAAAGCACGACCCCCAGGCGAGUAAUCGAAAACCCGAAAAAACGCAUAAGCAUACAAGGCACCUGAAGCAGCAGAAAUUCCCGUUCUCGAAGUCCAAGUGGAUCAUGACCGAAGCAGCAACACAGCACCAAGCCCCUCGCACAGCCGCUGUGCGCUUUCGGCCAAAACCACACCCUGCGGAAUUUUCCCCGCCCCGAACUCUACCCCUAUGUAAUGGCCUUUUGUGCGUCCAGAAAGUGUCGGCAAGGGGGUCGAAAGGCGGUUGAUUUAUUUCAUCCUCAGCGCCCUCUUUUCUUUCCGCGACAGACUUUGACGGGGUAAUUCCACAUGGGUCCGGCGACUUUGGUUUGUGAGAGUUGACAUUUGAUUGACGUUUUGAAAGCGGCACCAAGCACCAACCCAGAACCCCCAUCCAGAACGUCCUAUUGAAUGCACAAAAAGCGUGUAUGCGCAAUAGAAAGCUCGCGUUGGCAUGCUUCUUUUCCUUCAUAAUGCUCUUUUUUGACCUUGAGUGCUUUGAUCAGGUUUUUCUGCCUUCGAAGCAAAAUAUCAAACUGGCUCAAACACGGCGCUUUUAAGCGCACAAAGAUUGAUAACUUGCGCCAUCUGUUUACCAAGCGGUUGCGAGAAGUCAAACAAAACAGUGAGCAACAGAUGCGUUUUCACACCGCGAAAAGAUCGCAGCGCACGAGGUAGCGCAGGGAUCAG